rnacentral:rRNA from 1 species
UGGCGGACGGGUGAGUAAUGUCUGGGAAACUGCCUGGUGGAGGGGGAUAACUACUGGAAACGGUAGCUAAUACCGCAUAACGUCGCAAGACCAAAGAGGGGGACCUUCGGGCCUCUUGCCAUCGGAUGUGCCCAGAUGGGAUUAGCUAGUAGGUGGGGUAACGGCUCACCUAGGCGACGAUCCCUAGCUGGUCUGAGAGGAUGACCAGCCACACUGGAACUGAGAUACGGUCCAG